AGUGAACGCUGGCGGUAGGCCUAACACAUGCAAGUCGAACGGCAGCACAGUAAGCGCUUGCUCUUACGGGUGGCGAGUGGCGGACGGGUGAGGAAUACAUCGGAAUCUACUAUUUCGGGGGGGAUAACGUAAGGAAGCUUACGCUAAUACCGCAUACGACCUACGGCUGAAAGCAGUGGAUCUUCGCACCUUUCGCGUUUGAAUUAGCCGAUGUCGCAUUAGCUAGUUGGCGGGGUAAGGGCCCACCAAGCCGACGCUCCGUAGCGGAUCUGAGGGGAUGAUCAGCCACACUGGAACUGAGACACGUUCCAGACUCCUACGGGAGGCAGCAGUGGGGAAUAUUGGACAAGGGGCGAAAGCUUGAGCCAGCCAGCCGGGGGGGGUGAAGAGGGCCUUCGGGUUGUAAAGCCCUUUUGUUGGGAAAGGAAAGCAGCAGGUUAAUACCCCGCGGUUCUGACGGUACCAAAAGAAUAAGCACCGGCGAACUUCGU
rnacentral:rRNA from 1 species